rnacentral:rRNA from 1 species
GCUCAGAUUGAACGCUGGCGGCAGGCCUAACACAUGCAAGUCGAGCGGCAGCACGGGAAGCUUGCUUCCUGGUGGCGAGUGGCGGACGGGUGAGUAAUGCAUAGAAAUCUGCCCGGUAGUGGGGGAUAACCUGGGGAAACCCAGGCUAAUACCGCAUACGUCCUACGGGAGGCAGCAGUA